CGCAAGGAGCCAGCCGUCGAAGGUGGGGGCGAUGAUUGGGGUGAAGUCGUAACAAGGUAGCCGUAUCGGAAGGUGCGGCUGGAUCACCUCCUUUCUA
rnacentral:rRNA from 1 species